AUCCUUUUUUGGUUCAUAAGCAUGAUGAUUGGGUAUUCAUGCUGCUCUGCAGCACUGCCUCCCACAAACCUUGUUACAGGAUUAGCACAUUCUCCAUCUGACA